rnacentral:piRNA from 1 species
UCCCUCUGAGGAACAGGUCCUCUUGUGUC